AUGACAGCGAGGUCGGCGUCAUCCUGAUUGGCCGCAGCCCGGCCGUCAUUGAGAUUCGAGACUACCCUAUUGCACAGAGACAGUGGAGGACUCUCAUGGCAGGGCGUAGCACAUCUUUCUGAUCCCUCGGAGUCUCGCGGUCUAGACAGCGGUGCAUCCGAAUGUCUAUGAAGAUGAGAGUAGAUAACCGGAAGAGGCAUGGUUUCAACACUACAAGUCCGUACCGAAGUAAAGGUUGCAAUCACGAAAGCAGCCUGCAAGAUUCUAGAAAAUAGUCUUUCAGGAGGUUGAGAUACGCCCCAACAAUAAGGUUUCAUGUUAAUACCAGAGUUAUAUACGAGGGCAUCUACCUUCGUCAUAAGAGCAACUUCAGUAAAACUUCUGUUCCAACCCUUACUUACAAAAUAAGGAUCAAAAGUAAAAAUAAAAAAAAUCACUCCAGCAAGCAGAUCCCUGUUCAAGCCUUUGGAAAUUCACCCUCUCGGCCCCUAUUCCCAUGGGUGGCUAGCGAGGCCCCUGCUCUGCGUCUUCCCCUUUUCCUUCGCUCCCCCGCCCGCGUCUCCUCCCUUCCGCGCUACGGCGCUUCCUGCCCCGCCGCUUCCCUUCCGUCCUGCCCACGCGAUGGAACUUCCUCCGGCGCGACAAUCCUCCGCCGCUCCCCUUCUCGUUCCCCUCUUCCAUCGACUCCUCCCUCGUCAAAACCCUAGACCUCCCUGCGCUGCCCACCGCUGACCCGACCUCACCGCGCCACCCUCCAAGGAAGAGGGCCGCCCCUCCCGCGCCACCUGGAUCUGCAAGGCUCCGGGGCUCCCAAGGUACAUCGCCGCCCAUCAGCAUCGGCCCUUGACCUUGCCACGCCGACUCAUCGUUGCCGGCGAGUGCCCCUCCGCUGCAUACGUCCACGCCAGCUCGACGCCAAGCAGGCAGGCCUCCAUCGACAACACCGCAAGAGGCGCAACGCCGAUGGCCACAUCUUGAAAGGAGUUCACGCAGAGAUUCUUGCAUUUGCUGACGUACGCCUGCUUGCAGCUGAGGCACCCGGGGGACGUGGUGUUGCCGCAGGCGCUGCCGCAGAAGCUGCUCGUGCAGCCAUCGGUUGAAGAACUGCAGUACUG